rnacentral:rRNA from 1 species
AAAUUGAAGAGUUUGAUCAUGGCUCAGAUUGAACGCUGGCGGCAGGCCUAACACAUGCAAGUCGAACGGUAACAGGAAACAGCUUGCUGUUUCGCUGACGAGUGGCGGACGGGUGAGUAAUGUCUGGGAAACUGCCUGAUGGAGGGGGAUAACUACUGGAAACGGUAGCUAAUACCGCAUAACGUCGCAAGACCAAAGAGGGGGACCUUCGGGCCUCUUGCCAUCGGAUGUGCCCAGAUGGGAUUAGCUAGUAGGUGGGGUAACGGCUCACCUAGGCGACGAUCCCUAGCUGGUCUGAGAGGAUGACCAGCCACACUGGAACUGAGACACGGUCCAGACUCCUACGGGAGGCAGCAGUGGGGAAUAUUGCACAAUGGGCGCAAGCCUGAUGCAGCCAUGCCGCGUGUAUGAAGAAGGCCUUCGGGUUGUAAAGUACUUUCAGC